GCUUUCAACAUCACCGUUCGUGGCGGCGAUAGGCCAGCUCGAACUGAAGGC
rnacentral:ncRNA from 12 species